CUUAUUUGUAGCAUAUUAUCUUUCCUAUUGUAUUGCCUAACUUUUAGCUAGACAACUCAUAAUCCCUAAUUUGUAGGAGUAGUCAAUUUUUCUUCCUAUAUAAAUACACGAUAGAGUAUCAAUAAUAUUCAUUCAAGCAAAUUUAAUAUCUCUUCCAUCUUUUCAUGGUAUCAGAGCGGGACUAAGAUCCUAGUUCGUCGCUGCACUUUAAAUCUCUCUUGUAGCAUCUUUCUCUUUCAGCCAUCAUGGCCAAUGAUGAAUUACCACCAACUCCUUCUAUUCCUGGCAAAGAAAUUGCCGAUCCUGAUGUAGAUUCUUCAAAACCGAAUAUCUCAAAACCUUAUUUCACUCAUCAUUCAAAUCAUCCAGGUUUGGUUUUGAUUUCCAAACCCUUGAAUGGAGACAAUUAUUCUACUUGGAAAAGGGCUAUGACUCUAGCUCUAAAUUCCAAAAAAAAACUAGGUUUUGUCGAUGGAUCAAUCAAUGCACCUUCAAAAAAGACAGAUCCUAAAAAUUAUGCAGCUUGGUCUC
rnacentral:lncRNA from 1 species